AAAGUAGUUUGAUUUUUUACCUUUUGAGACGUACUAACAUAAGGACAUAAAUCUGCAAAAAGAGAAAAUUAAAUUUGAGUAACGUCUAAAAUCUAGUAAAAGUGUCCAUGAAAUUUAGCAGGAAACUUUGCUGUUAAAGUCGUAAAGUGAAUCCUUUUUAAAAGAAUUUCCAUAUUUAAAACAAUUUGCAAUGAUGACAAAUAAUUUGUAGCAUCUUUAGAGAAAGAAAAUAAUAUAGUUUGUCGUAUUAUGGUGACACAAAUUUAAUUAGUGUAGUGGUUAUAUUAUUUACCCAUUUUCAUUAAAUACGAUUUGAUUUCUUUCUGUUUUGGUUUUAACAAUUAUUUCUUACCUUUUGAGACGUACUAACAUAAAUUGCAGAAAGAGAAAUUUGAUUUUCAUGUAAAAUUGUCCAUGAAAAUUAGCUGUAAAUUUCUUAAUUUCGAUGUUUGAUAUAAUCUGACAAGGAACAAAUAAUAUGUCGCAUUAUGAUGUGACACAAAUGUAAUUAUCGUAGUGGUUAAGUAUUUAAAGUGCUUUAUGAUUUCAUUUUUUUCUGAAGAAGAGUCGAAAAUGACGACUCUUCACACCUCGUUACGUCUUUUUCAUUUUCAGUAGAAGAUC
rnacentral:lncRNA from 1 species